ensembl:lncRNA ERVK13-1 endogenous retrovirus group K13 member 1
GUUGCUGGAGUUCAGCUUAGGGAAGGAGGACUCUGAGGAGGCCCCGAGCGGCGGAGCGCUUCGGGGGAGGCGCCCGCGCAGACGCGAGGCCCAUAGCCAGGACCACCACCUAGCUGUUCUACAGUCUGGGGACGACGGUUUAAAAAUUUAUGCCUUGCAUGCGAUGUGCAGUGGGUGAUGGAAGAACGUCUACAUGGCUUUAAAAUUGGAUUUAAAAGGCAAAUAUUUUAAAUGAAGGAAAACCCAAGAAGUUUACUUGAUUCCUUAUCUUCCAGGAUGCGACUUUUGUUUAUUUAUUUAUUUUAUUUUGAUGGAGUCUCGCUGCCGUCGCGCAGGCUGGAGUGCAGUGACGCGAUCUUGACCCGGGAACCUCCACCUCCCGGGUUCAAGCGAUUCUCCUUCCUCAACCACCCGAGUAGCUGGGAUUACAGGCGUGUGCCACCAUGCCCGGCUAAUUUUUGUGUUUUUAGUAGAGACCGGGGAAGGUAUGGGCCCUCUUUUGAGAAAAAUGCAGAGUGACACUGAAUUUUGUAACUACAUCAGGAGGCUCUUGAACCUUCUGCAGCUCACUCGUGGAGUUUGUAGAGAUGCGUAAUAAUCCGAAGUGUUAAGGAAGAAGGUUCUGUUGAGAAAAAGUUGGAGGGCUGAAAGGGAUGCCUUUCGCUAUUUCGACAUGUGUGGCUGUACCCCAGAGUGCCCUGGCUAACACGCAAAACCAUGAAUUAGGCGGCUUGGCGAGGCUCAGUGGAGGCUGGGGCCGAGAGUCAUGUCAAAGUUUGUGGGGUUAACCUGCACCCAGUGACAGUCAUGGCGAAGUUUGUGAGGUUAACUCGCACCCAGUAACGCUGUUCCAAUGCAAGGUGUGUAUUUGGUGUCAUCCACGGGAAGAGGAAACAGCAAAUUUUCUCAUGGCCUUGGCAGUUCCACAUGAUGGACAUUUCAUAUCUGCAGUUUUCUUCGCAUGAGAUGGCUUUUUUGCACAAAAACACUGGAAUCCAGUGAGCAAGAAUGAUAGAAUGCAAGAUGGAUUUCCACAUGAGGAAGUGUCACGAACAAGCGUUUUGCAUCUCUGUCAGCUGGAUUCCCCCAUGUGUACGUAUGUGAGAACAUGCCGUGUUUCCUGUCUGUAAUGGUAGAGGCAGCCCUGAUACUGGAUUUUCACCUGAGGAUGGAUAGAUCUUCAGGGUUCAAGUGGGUUUGCAUCUGGACUUUAGGGUGGCCCUGUAGGCCCUGUGUGAGAAGCCCCCUUCCCAGUGAACUUUCCCUUGUGUGCCCGCGUGGACAGCCAACAGGGGGAGCAGUGCGAGCGUGAAGGCAGACAGUGGCCUGGCCCAGUCUGAUGGGAGAGACCCACCGACCCUGUGGGGCUGGUCCCUACAUCUGGCGCUCUGACGUGGGGCUCUCCCUCGCUGUGUGAAGUUGCACCCUGAGUGCGGGAUCAGCGGAGGAGUUCAACGAGAGAUUCCUGAGGAUUGCAGUCUAUAAACUUGGUGGGGUUUUGUUUGUGUUUCCCCAGGAAAAGAACUACAGCCUGUGUGGGUCCCCUCCCGACAAUUAAAAUUGCACCAUAACUCCAAAGAUGAAACGCUCCCAGAAAGAAAAGGCAAAGACCCAUCGGAAACAAAAGAGCAACUUUCACCGCCUGAUACAUACACUUCAUGACAUCCACAUUGAGACAAAAUCUCGCCGUGUGACCUACAACACCUCUCGUUCAACCCCACCUACUUGGGGUCGAAUACAGAUUUUAUCUCAUCAAACAGAAAAAUUCUUAACAGAAAAAGGAAUCCCAAAAAUGACUGGUAAUAUAAUUCUGGCUGCCUUUAUGGUAGUCAGUGCAGCGGUAAGUAUACCACCGGUCGGGGCAACUCAAAAUUAUACUUAUUGGGCAUAUGUUCCUUUUCCCCUUCUAAUUCGGUCUGUCUCCUGGAGGGACUCUCCAGUAGAAGUUUACACUAAUAAUAGUGCAUUCAUGCCGAUCCCUAAUGAUGAUCGGUUUCCAGCUCAACCGGAAGAAGAAGGUAUGCACUUUAAUCUGUCAAUUGGCUAUAAAUAUCCACCAUUAUGUAUUGGGAAGUCGCCUGGUUGUUUAGCUUAUUCUUAACAGAAUUGGAUGUGGACUGUACCGUCCUUUACAAAUGAUUCUUAUCAAGUAUAUAAUGUGUUCAGUACUAACUCUUUUCAACUUCUCACUGUCAAACGUACCCCACAUGAGGCAUGGAGAGUUCCUCUCACUACCAAAACUAAUAAAACAAAAGGACUGCCGGACUGUCCAAAGAAACCUACAAAUGGGCCUUUUAUAGUGACUUCAAUUUUAUGGGAUAAUUGUAAUGCUCCCAAGGCUGUUGUACUCCAAACUCUAGCCAUGGGUAUUGUUAUUGAUUGGGCUCCAAAAGGACAUUAUUGGCAAGAUUGCUCCAGCAAAAAUACCUUAUGCUCGGAGUUUAUUUAUUCCUUAGAUUAUAUAGAGCAUGGGUGGCAGUCUUACACGAUGAGACAACGGGUGUCUCCUUACCCAUUUAAAUGGAUGGACACAGGUAUUGCUCCUCCUAGACCAAAAAUUAUUCAUCCCUUUUUUACCCCAGAACAUCCUGAACUAUGGAAAUUAGCUGCAGCUUUGUCGGGAAUAAAGAUAUGGAACACUACCUAUCAGCUCCUUCGUACUAAAACCAAAACACCCACAUUCAACAUCACCCUUAUUUCUGAAUGGGUGAUACCCAUUAGGAGCUGUGUCAAACCCCCUUACAUGCUGUUGGUUGGAAAUAUAAUUAUGAUGCCUGAUGCACAAACUAUAGAAUGUCAUAACUGUAAGCUGUUCACUUGCAUUGAUGCAACUUUUAAUCCCACUACAAGUAUUCUCUUGGUAAGGGCUAGGGAGGGGGUAUGGAUACCAGUUUCUCUACAUCGUCCAUGGGAGUCUUCCCCCUCUAUUCACAUAGUCAAUGAAGUUCUUAAAGACAUCCUCAAAAGAACAAAGAGAUUUAUUUUUACUCUUAUUGCAGUCCUUGCAGGACUACUUGCGGUUACUGCAACAGCAGCAACUGCUGGAGUUGCCAUCCGCAGUUCUGUUCAAACUGCUCACUAUGUUGAAGCAUGCCAGAAAAAUUCCUCCAGACUUUGGAAUUCUCAGGCGCAAAUUGAUCAAAAAUUAGCUAAUCAGAUUAAUGAUCUCCGCCAAAGUGUAACCUGGCUGGGAGAUAGAGUUAUGAACUUGCAACACCGUAUGCAAUUACAGUGUGAUUGGAAUACUUCUGAUUAUUGCAUAACGCCUUAUGCUUAUAAUCAAGAUCAACAUAGCUGGGAAAAUGUCUCAAGACAUUUAAAAGCCUGGGAUGAUAACUUAACCUUGGAUAUUUCACAACUUAAAGAGCAAAUCUUUGAGGCUUCACAAGCCCAUUUAUCCACAGUUCCUGGCUCACACAUUUUUGAAGGCAUAACUAAACAAUUACCUGAUUUUAAUCCCUUCAAAUGGCUCAAACCCGUCAGAGGAUCAUUGUUGUUACUGGCAUUAUUAAUAUUGGUAUGCUUAUGUUGUCUCCUUUUAGUCUGCAGAUGCCUCUAAGGAGUCCGAAACCAAGUCCGAAGUCAACAACAAGCAAUGAUGGCGAUGGCGAUUCUAGUUAAUAAAAAGGGGGGAGAUGUGGGCGGCAAGCCACCCAGGCACCGAGGCAAGAGACAGAGGACACGAGCUGUUCCAGUAUAAUAAAAUAUAAAACAAGAAUAGUUAUACCAGAUAUAGAUCUUAGAUAUGAUUAUAUACGAAUAUCAUUAAUCAUGAGUUUGUAGCAAUUACUUUUUAUUCCAAUAUUAUGAUAAUCCUCGCUCUAUAAUCAUAGCCUAGGAAAAACCAGGCCAUACAGAGAUAGGAGCUGAGGGGACAUAGUGAAGUGUGACCAGAAGACAAGAGUGCGAGCCUUCUGUUAUGCCCGGACAGGGCCACCAGAGGGCUCCUUGGUCUAGCGGUGACGCCAGCGUCUGGGAAGACACCCGUUACCAGGCGGAUCGUGGCCCAGCCGUAGCAAAAGGUGUCAAGGAACACCUUUUGCAAAAGGUGUCAACACCCGCUACUUAGCAGACUGGGAAAGGGGGGCGGUCUCCCUUUCCCCGGGGGAGUUUAGAGAAGACUCUGUUCCUCCACCUCUUGUGGAGGGCCUGACAUCAGUCAGGCUUGCCCGUAGUUAUCCGGAGGCCUAACUGUCUCCCUGUGAUGCUGUGCUUCAGUGGUCAC